rnacentral:rRNA from 1 species
AUUGAACGCUGGCGGCAGGCUUAACACAUGCAAGUCGAGCGGGGUGAUGGUGCUUGCACUAUCACUUAGCGGCGGACGGGUGAGUAAUGCUUAGGAAUCUGCCUAUUAGUGGGGGACGACAUCUCGAAAGGGAUGCUAAUACCGCAUACGUCCUACGGGAGAAAGCAGGGGAUCACUUGUGACCUUGCGCUAAUAGAUGAGCCCAAGUCGGAUUAGCUAGUUGGUGGGGUAAAGGCCUACCAAGGCGACGAUCUGUAGCGGGUCGGAGAGGAUGAUCCGCCACACUGGGACUGAGACACGGCCCAGACUCCUACGGGAGGCAGCAGUGGGGAAUAUUGGACAAUGGGGGGAACCCUGAUCCAGCCAUGCCGCGUGUGUGAAGAAGGCCUUAUGGUUGUAAAGCACUUUAAGCGAGGAGGAGGCUCUUUUGGUUAAUACCAAGAUGAGUGGACGUUACUCGCAGAAUAAGCACCGGCUAACUCUGUGCCAGCCGCCGCAGUAA